rnacentral:rRNA from 1 species
CCUACGGGAGGCAGCAGUGGGGAAUAUUGCGCAAUGGGCGAAAGCCUGACGCAGCGACGCCGCGUGAGGGAUGAAGGUCUUCGGAUCGUAAACCUCUGUCAGCAGGGAAGAACGGUCACGGAGCUAAGCAGCAGUGAAUUGACGGUACCGGCAAAGGAAGCACCGGCGAACUCCGUGCCAGCAGCCGCGGUAAUACGGAGGGGGCGCGCGUUAAUCGGAAUUACUGGGCGGAAAGCGCUCGUAGGCGGUAUGUCAAGUCAAGGGUGAAAUCCCCGCGCUCAACGUGGGAACUUCCGUUGAAGCUGGCAACCUGGUGUGUGUGAGAGUCUAGUGGCAUUCCAGGUGUACGGGUGCACUCCGU